UGCCAUGAGAGCCAGGGGGAGCUGUC
rnacentral:piRNA from 1 species